rnacentral:rRNA from 1 species
CGUGAAAUUGUUGAAAGGGAAGCGCUUGCAACCAGACUUGAGCGCGGCGGUUCCCCCGGUCUUUUGGCUGGGCUACUCCGUCGUGUCCAGGCCAACAUCGGGUCUGAGGGUCGGUCAAAGGCCUUGGGAAUGUAUCUACCUACGGGUAGACUUAUAGACCAGGGUGUCAUGCGGCCUCUCGGGACCGAGGAACGCGCUUCGGCUCGGAUGUUGGCGUAAUGGUUGUCAGCGACCCGUCUUGAAACACGG